UACGUAGGGUGCAAGCGUUGUCCGGAAUUAUUGGGCGUAAAGAGCGCGCAGGCGGUCGAUCAAGUCGAGUGUGAAAGCCCCCGGCUCAACUGGGGAGGGUCAUUCGAUACUGAUCGACUCGAAGGCAGGAGAGGGUAGUGGAAUUCCCGGUGUAGUGGUGGAAUGCGUAGAUAUCGGGAGGAACACCAGUGGCGAAGGCGACUACCUGGCCUGUUCUUGACGCUGAGGCGCGAAAGCUAGGGGAGCAAACGGG
rnacentral:rRNA from 1 species